GACGAACGCUGGCGGCGUGCUUAACACAUGCAAGUCGAACGAUGAAGAAAAGAAUUGAAGCUUCGGCAGAAAAUCAUUUUGGAUUAGUGGCAGACGGGUGAGUAAAGCGUGAGAAACCUACCCUUUACAAAGGGAUAGCCUCGGGAAACCAGGAUUAAUAGCAUAUAACAUUGCGACGAAGCAUUUCGUUGCAGUCAAAGCUACGGCGGUAAGAGAUGGGCUCGCGUCCCAUUAACCAGAUGGUGAGGUAACGGCUCACCAUAGUAACAAUGGGUAACCGGCUGGGAAGAGGGACAGGUCACACUGGAACGAGGACACGUUCCAGACUCUUACGGAGGGAGGCGGAAGGGAAUAUUGCACAAGGAAGAAAGCCUGAUGGCACCGACGCCGGGGGAGGGAGAAAGGAAUUCGGUCCGUAAAUCUCUUUUCGAUGGGAAAAAUAUGACUGUACCAUAGGAGAAAGCUCCGGCUAAAUACGUG
rnacentral:rRNA from 1 species